rnacentral:rRNA from 1 species
AACGAACGCUGGCGGCAGGCUUAACACAUGCAAGUCGAACGCCCCGCAAGGGGGGUGGCAGACGUGUGAGUAACGCGUGGGAACAUACCCUUUCCUGCGGAAUAGCUCCGGGAAACUGGAAUUAAUACCGCAGACGCCCUACGGGGGAAAGAUUUAUCGGGGAAGGAUUGGCCCGCGGGGGAUUAGCAAGUUGGUAGGGUAAAGGCCUACCAAGGCGACGAUCCAUAGCUGGUAUGAGAGGAUGAUCAGCCACAUUGGGACUGAGACACGGCCCAAACUCCUGCGGGAGGCAGCAGUGGGGAAUAUUGGACAAUGGGCGCAAGCCUGAUCCAGCCAUGCCGCGUGAGUGAUGAAGGCGUUAGGGUAGUAAAGCUCUUUCACCGAUGAAGAUAAUGACGGUAGUCGGAGAAGAAGCCCCGGCUAACUUCGUG